GGGGUUGUGGUUCAGUGGUAGAACGCUUGCCUGGCAUGUGUGAGGCCCUGAAUUCAAUCCUCAGCACCA
rnacentral:tRNA from 1 species